rnacentral:rRNA from 1 species
GCUACAGGCUUAACACAUGCAAGUCGAGGGGCAGCAUGGUCUUAGCUUGCUAAGGCCGAUGGCGACCGGCGCACGGGUGAGUAACACGUAUCCAACCUGCCGUCUACUCUUGGACAGCCUUCUGAAAGGAAGAUUAAUACAAGAUGGCAUCAUGAGUCCGCAUGUUCACAUGAUUAAAGGUAUUCCGGUAGACGAUGGGGAUGCGUUCCAUUAGAUAGUAGGCGGGGUAACGGCCCACCUAGUCUUCGAUGGAUAGGGGUUCUGAGAGGAAGGUCCCCCACAUUGGAACUGAGACACGGUCCAAACUCCUACGGGAGGCAGCAGUGAGGAAUAUUGGUCAAUGGGCGAGAGCCUGAACCAGCCAAGUAGCGUGAAGGAUGACUGCCCUAUGGGUUGUAAACUUCUUUUAUAAAGGAAUAAAGUCGGGUAUGGAUACCCGUUUGCAUGUACUUUAUGAAUAAGGAUCGGCUAACUCCGUGCCAGCAGCCGCGGUAAUACGGAGGAUCCGAGCGUUAUCCGGAUUUAUUGGGUUUAAAGGGAGCGUAGAUGGAUGUUUAAGUCAGUUGUGAAAGUUUGCGGCUCAACCGUAAAAUUGCAGUUGAUACUGGAUAUCUUGAGUGCAGUUGAGGCAGGCGGAAUUCGUGGUGUAGCGGUGAAAUGCUUAGAUAUCACGAAGAACUCCGAUUGCGAAGGCAGCCUGCUAAGCUGCAACUGACAUUGAGGCUCGAAAGUGUGGGUAUCAAACAGGAUUAGAUACCCUGGUAGUCCACACGGUAAACGAUGAAUACUCGCUGUUUGCGAUAUACUGCAAGCGGCCAAGCGAAAGCGUUAAGUAUUCCACCUGGGGAGUACGCCGGCAACGGUGAAACUCAAAGGAAUUGACGGGGGCCCGCACAAGCGGAGGAACAUGUGGUUUAAUUCGAUGAUACGCGAGGAACCUUACCCGGGCUUAAAUUGCAGAUGAAUUACGGUGAAAGCCGUAAGCCGCAAGGCAUCUGUGAAGGUGCUGCAUGGUUGUCGUCAGCUCGUGCCGUGAGGUGUCGGCUUAAGUGCCAUAACGAGCGCAACCCUUGUUGUCAGUUACUAACAGGUUCCGCUGAGGACUCUGACAAGACUGCCAUCGUAAGAUGUGAGGAAGGUGGGGAUGACGUCAAAUCAGCACGGCCCUUACGUCCGGGGCUACACACGUGUUACAAUGGGGGGUACAGAGGGCCGCUACCACGCGAGUGGAUGCCAAUCCCCAAAACCUCUCUCAGUUCGGACUGGAGUCUGCAACCCGACUCCACGAAGCUGGAUUCGCUAGUAAUCGCGCAUCAGCCACGGCGCGGUGAAUACGUUCCCGGGCCUUGUACACACCGCCCGUCAAGCCAUGGGAGCCGGGGGUACCUGAAGUGCGUAACCGCGAGGAGCGCCCUAGGGUAAAACUGGUGACUGGGGCUAAAUC